rfam:Flavobacterium cauense R2A-7 FCR2A7T_19, whole genome shotgun sequence.
UGCAGCAUACAAAAUAAGAAAUGAACAACAUUUUAAACAAUACUUGGUGGUGGAAUAACUUACGUCGAAAAUCGUGAGCGAAUCCUCCUAUCUGUAUUUUUAAAACCAAAAUAGAUAAAAAGGCUUGUC